rnacentral:rRNA from 1 species
UACGUAGGGUGCGAGCGUUACUCGGAAUUACUGGGCGUAAAGCGUGCGCAGGCGGUUCGUUAAGACAGAUGUGAAAUCCCCGGGCUUAACCUGGGAACUGCAUUUGUGACUGGCGAGCUAGAGUAUGGCAGAGGGGGGUAGAAUUCCACGUGUAGCAGUGAAAUGCGUAGAGAUGUGGAGGAAUACCGAUGGCGAAGGCAGCCCCCUUGGCCAAUACUGACGCUCAUGCACGAAAGCGUGGGGAGCAAACAGG